CUUGAGAGAGGGAGCCCUGAGAUGGACUCUGAGACAUGAGUCCAGGCCCUACGGGGCGCAGCAGUCGCGAAAACUUCACAAUGGGGGAAACCCCGAUGAGGGAAUUCCAAGUGUCAGCACAUUGUGUUGACUGUUCCCCAGUCUAAAAAACCGGAGAAGUAAGGGCCGGGUAAGACGGGUGCCAGCCGCCGCGGUAAUACCCGCGGCCCGAGUGGUGGUCGAUAUUAUUGAGCCUAAAACGUUCGCAGCCGGUCUUGUAAAUCCUUGGGGAAAUCGACCAGCUUAACUGUUCGAAGUCCGGGGAGACUGCAAGACUUGGGAUCGGGAGAGGUCAGAGGUACUUCUGGGGUAGGGGUAAAAUCCUGUAAUCCUAGAAGGACCACCGGUGGCGAAGGCGUCUGACUAGAACGAAUUCGACGGUGAGGAACGAAGCCCUGGGGCGCAAACGGGAUUAGAUACCCCGGUAGUCCAGGGUGUAAACGCUGCGGGCUUGGUGUUGGGGGUCCUUAGUGGGCGCCCAGUGCCGGAGAGAAGUUGUUAAGCCUGCUGCUUGGGGAGUACGUUCGCAAGGAUGAAACUUAAAGGAAUUGGCGGGGGAGCACCGCAACGGGAGGAGCGUGCGGUUCAAUUGGAUUCAACGCCGGACAACUCACCAGGAACGACGAUUACAUGAAGGCCAGGCUGAUGACCUUGCCUGAUUUUUCGAGAGGUGGUGCAUGGCCGUCGUCAGUUCGUACCGUAAGGCGUUCUCUUAAGUGAGAUAACGAACGAGACCCUCACCGUUAAUUGCUAACUUCUUCUCCGGAGGGAGUGCACGUUAACGGGACCGCUGCCGCUAAGACAGAGGAAGGAGAGGUCAACGGUAGGUCCGUAUGCCCCGAAUUUCCUGGGCUACACGCGCGCUACAAAGGUUGGGACAAUGGGUUCCUACAUCGAAAGGU
rnacentral:rRNA from 1 species